rnacentral:rRNA from 1 species
AGUGAACGCUGGCGGUAGGCCUAACACAUGCAAGUCGAACGGCAGCACAGAGGAGCUUGCUCCUUGGGUGGCGAGUGGCGGACGGGUGAGGAAUACAUCGGAAUCUGCUCUGUCGUGGGGGAUAACGUAGGGAAACUUACGCUAAUACCGCAUACGACCUACGGGUGAAAGCAGGGGAUCUUCUGACCUUGCGCGAUUGAAUGAGCCGAUGUCGGAUUAGCUAGUUGGCGGGGUAAAGGCCCACAAAGGCGACGAUCGGUAGCUGGGCUGAGAGGAUGAACAGCCGCACUGGAAAUGAGACACGGUCCAGACUCCUACGGGAGGCAGCAGUGGGGAAUAUUGGACAAUGGGCGCAAGCCUGAUCCAGCCAUACCGCGUGGGUGAAGAAGGCCUUCGGGUUGUAAAGCCCUUUUGUUGGGAAAGAAAUCCAUCUGGUUAAUACCCGGGUGGGAUGACGGUACCCAAAGAAUAAGCACCGGCUAACUUCGUGCCAGCAGCCGCGGUAA